GUACAACACAUACGUACAAUACGUGACCCUUGCUUAAAACUAUGUUACGCUCGUCCGGUAUGCAUUUCCACUUAAUUUUUAAUCUUGCCCUCUCGACACAACGUGACGCGUGUAAUUUUGUGUGUUGACCGCGUACGUGUCCACGCACGUCUCGUGUGUAUUUGUGCGUGUACUUUGUAUGUGUGUGUGUGUGUGUGUAUCCGUGUAUAUGUUGAGUGUACUGUGUACGAUAUGUUACAAACUUUUUAGGAACAUUUCUCGUGGAAUGCCGCGAGCGGUAAUAAUAAGGUCGCAGCGAAACUACACGAAAACAAUGCGCAGUCAUCUGCAGCUUCAUCCUCGACUUCGAUAUAUUGAUUAGACAGUUAUCGAAAAAUGACACCAAUAUAGACGAUUGUUGACUGGACAGACUCCGAAUAUUUAUGACUGAAAGGCGCCAGGGAGAAGUCGCGAGUCGCGCGUUAAUUAACCGUUUGCGCCCCGCGUAUGUCCAUUGCAAAAUCCCUGAUGUCUUCAUGGAAUUCUUCAAUAUUGAGAUAAUGCGACGCACCUACAUGGAUGUGCAUGCGACGGCGUCUGAUCCGCACAAAGGGAUGAGUUUCAGCGAUCCGCUCGUCGCGACGAGGAAACCCUGGCGCCCCUCAAAUUUCGAACGCAAAACACUGUCAGAUACCACCAUCCCUCUUCAAUAAGCCCCCCAAUCCCCCCUCCUUGAUUAUCGCAAAUCGUGGUCAACAUAAGCACACAAAUCAAUGCCUAAUAUCAUUCACUAAGGUACCGUCCUCUGCCCCCCCCCCCUCUCUCGCC